rnacentral:rRNA from 1 species
AGCGAACGCUGGCGGCAGGCCUAACACAUGCAAGUCGAACGAACCUUUCGGGGUUAGUGGCGGACGGGUGAGUAACACGUGGGAACGUGCCUUUAGGUUCGGAAUAACUCAGGGAAACUUGUGCUAAUACCCAAUGUGCCCUUCGGGGGAAAGAUUUAUCGCCUUUAGAGCGGCCCGCGUCUGAUUAGCUAGUUGGUUGAGGUAAUGGCUCACCAAGGCGACGAUCAGUAGCUGGUCUGAGAGGAUGAUCAGCCACAUUGGGACUGAGACACGGCCCAAACUCCUACGGGAGGCAGCAGUGGGGAAUCUUGCGCAAUGGGCGAAAGCCUGACGCAGCCAUGCCGCGUGAAUGAUGAAGGUCUUAGGAUUGUAAAAUUCUUUCACCGGGGACGAUAAUGACGGUACCCGGAGAAGAAGCCCCGGCUAACUUCGU